ensembl:lncRNA
AAUAUGGAGGUUCUUGUGUUCAAGCUAGUGUGUUUAGUUGUGCGUUUUUGCUAUUCUGCUAAUAGGGAAAGUAUUUUAAAUGAAAUGACUCAAAAUGACGACUGAAUCUGUUGUAUUAAAUCCAAAAGUGUCAUGGAAUGAGACAAAAUAAUAUUCAACUUAUUGCUCUGGUUAUAUUAUAGGAGAUCCCUGGGAGACAGCUGAUAAAGAAGAAGUGGAGAUACACAUCCCCUCAUACCCCCUACUUUGUAUCCUAAAGAGGUCAUGUUGCACUGGGUCAUUUAGAGGAGCACAAAGGCCCUUGACCUGCAGCUGUGCAUGGUCAUGCGUGAGGCUGGAGAAGAAGACAGCAAUUACAGAGCUGGAAAACGAGUGCACUUGCCGCCUGCACCUCAGAUUUGUGCAACAGCAGUGGCUUCUCAGGGAGGCAUUAGCCCUGCUACAGUCGUCUCGUGGGGAGAUGACGACUGUUAAGAACCAGUUAACUCACUUCCUGGAGACCUGGGAAAACAGCAAAGCACUGAUGCAGCAGAGUUGCAUCAGCGCUGAUACAGAGUGUGCUUGUCUGAAGCAGGAAGUGGACAGGUUACAGAUGGACCUGAAGAGGCUGCAGGUGGAGGGGCCAAACCUGAAGUCAUGUCUUGAUGCUGCAAAAGAACAGAUGCUGCAGUUGGAGAACCGGUCCAGACCCAGAAACUACUGCAGAACCAAAACCAAGAAGCCCAGUUUCUCUUACAGUGUUUGUAUUCUCAGAGUUUAAAGGUGAAGUGUGUCAUUUUUGCUAUUAGCAGCAAACAGAAUUGCAUUAAUAAUAAUAAUAUAUUUUCAAUGCUCAGGAGGUCACCCAUCCAAAUGCCCAGCAGUUUUUGUGUUCAUUUUCUCUGUCCUCCAUUGUUUGUCCGGCAGGUGUUUUGGAGUUGCAGUCUCACACCUUGUCAGUAUCCAGACAUUUUCAGUUCUUGUCUGCAUAUGUUUGUGUGGUGUUUAGUGUGUGUAUUGUGAUGUUUUUCUUAGGCAGGUUUUUAGGGUUAAACACAGCUUAAUGUUUAAAGCAAGAAACAUCACAAAUGAUUAACAAAUUAUUCAGUUAUUUAAAUGGAGACUAGAUUGAGACUUUUGUGAAAAAAACGAUAUCCUGCUAGAGUUUUGGACUAGAUCUCAACAAUUUCUCAAACUACUGUAUGCUCAGAUUUGCAAAAGAUUUGCAAAAUUUUGAAAAGUUUGUGGUCUGUGCGAUUAUUAUUAUUAUUUUUUAAUAAUAUUAUUAUUUUUUUUCUUUGUAACAGUAAUAACAGUAAUAUUGUUAAAUUAGUAAUACUGUGAAAUAUCUUUACAAUUUAAAAUAAUUGUUCUGUUCUACUCAAAUAUAUUUAAAAAUAUAAUUUAUUCCUGUGAUGGCAAUGCUGAAUUUACAGUGGCCAUUAUAUGCUGGUGUCACAUGAUCCCUUCAGAACUCAUUCUAAUAUGCCAAGUUUGUGCUUAAGAAACAUUUCUUAUUAUUAUCCAUGUUGAAAUUUGUUCUGCUGCUUAAUAUUUUUAAGGUUUCUUAAAUAAAUAGAAAUAUUAAAAGAACA